UACGAAGGGGGGCUAGCGUUGUUCGGAAUUACUGGGCGUAAAGGGCUCGUAGGCGGCCAACUAAGUCAGACGUGAAAUCCCCAGGCUCAACCUGGGAACUGCGUCUGAUACUGGAUGGCUUGAGAUUGGGAGAGGGAUGCGGAAUUCCAGGUGUAGCGGUGAAAUGCGUAGAUAUCUGGAGGAACACCGGUGGCGAAGGCGGCAUCCUGGACCAACACUGACACUGAGGAGCGAAAGCCAGGGGAGCAAACGGG
rnacentral:rRNA from 1 species